rnacentral:rRNA from 1 species
GUGGGUAGGGACUGGGUUGGUGGCGGGGGAGGAUGGUGGAAGAAGGUGCGCAGUCUCGGGGCGGCCUCGGUGGGGCGGCGGCCGGUGGCGCGGGGUCGAGCGGAGCGUGGCAGGGACGGGGAGGAGCGGCGGGGUGAAAGGGGAUGCGGCCUAGGCUCCGCCGGAGCCGGGGAGGGUGCGGCGGGUUAGGAGAGGAUGCGAUCUGGGCAGCGGCGGGGAGGAGCGGCCGGGUGAGAGGGGACCGCUACCUAGGCCCGUGGUGGCGGUCCGGCGUGUGCCCUCCGCUGCUUAGCCUGGAGGUGGCGGUGCGAGCACUUACCGGACUGGUUAAACACGUGCUGGAAGUGGGUAGCCCGGCGGGGAGCGGCCGCAGAAGGAGUCUAGCUCCUGCUGGCGUGGCGGCGGUGCUCGACGUCAGGGCCCCUCGUUGGUUGAGGUGAGGCCAUACACGAGGCCGGUCGUCGAGGGAGGAAGGGGGAGGUAGGGGGCUAGACUAGAAGAUCUGCUGGUACCUUCGAUGGUACGGAGCACUCGACUGGUUUAGUGGGGGCGCGGCUAAUGAAGAAGCCCAAAGGCCAAGCACAACAAGCAAACACGAGGUACACACCAAGUAAAAGUUCUAGGGACCGACGGAGCUAGGCCUAGGUCAUGGAGGCGGGACUGGGCGCGGAGGCCGCCGGAACGUUAGUAACAGCCGAUCCUUACUCGGAGGUACUAACGGCCAAACCCUGAGCAGACGCGGUUCGCCCUACCUCGUGCCCGGCGCGGAACGAAAGUCAAGUGGCUCGUGGCUAUCCUCUUGCUGCCGUUCGGCAAGCCGUCGUACGGGCGAACGUCAAGGAAGCCGUCGUGCGGGAGUCCCUGCUUUACGUUGGCCGGUACUGUACCCUUCUGCUGCCUAAUUCUAGAGAUCACGUUCCCGCGCACAUCAAGUCGGGACGUCUCUGCUCAUCACGUGAACCGCCUCUGCGCGGGUUUCAGGGUCCAGUCCCGAGGGGGGCGGGCGGACGCAGGUGUGGGUAGACGUCGGUGCCAUAGAGUGUCCCUUUUAGCAGGGAAUGGGGAGAGGGAGGAGGAACCGAGGGCACACGUCACUCGUCACGUCUUCCUGGCGGCCGCCGGCGUAUCCUCGUCACGUCAAAAAGUCGUCGCCUGCUGCGCACGACCUACACACAAAAACUCUACACACACGCCCGUAUAGUCUUCAAGCAAAGGCGAUGGACCCUCCAAGUAACACGUAUAAAAACUUGAUAAAGUAUGUUGUUCUUUAAUAUUCCAUGGAGGUUCCUGCCGAAGAUAUGAACCAAGGUAACUUUUUUACCCACGACGAUCACGUUCAAGCCCAUGUACGGACCCGUACCUUAAACUGAGGAGGUUGUACGUCAAGCCACACCCUCCUUUUUUACCUGGGUUAACGAAAAAUUAAAUCAAAAAUUCCUAAAAAAGGCGUUUUUUACUCCUGAGAUAAACAUAAAAAAAAUUUAGUGAUGUAAAGUAAAACAUCUUCUCAACUCACCGUGGGUGUGGGAGUGGGGACGAGCUGGAAGAAGGAUGAGAGGGAGGUGGUAGCACCGAAGGAGGUACUCCGUACAAGCAGGGGAGGGCGUGACGUAGCGGUACGUUCGGUGUGACGUAGUGGUACACUCGGCGUGACGUAGUGAGAAACUCUCCAAGCGAUGAGACAGAUGACACGAAGUGAGACAAGGAACACUAGGUUUGAUCUUCUCUGUGUUACUUUCACAUGGGACGAUCAUACCCUCACCCACCAAGUGAAGCCACCCGGAUCUCCAAGUGAGUUAUUUUUUGACGUAG